rnacentral:hammerhead_ribozyme from 1 species
CUUAACCGAGGAGUCCCACAAUAGGACGAAACGGUCGUCUAGUAC